rnacentral:rRNA from 1 species
UAUGUGGUUAAUUCGAUGCAACGCGAAGAACCUUACCUGGUCUUGACAUCCCGGAGACCCUUAGGAAACUAGGGGGUGCUUCCAUCUGGAAGAAUCUGGAGACAGGUGCUGCAUGGCUGUCGUCAGCUCGUGUCGUGAGAUGUUGGGUUAAGUCCCGCAACGAGCGCAACCCUUGCCUUUAGUUGCCAGCAGUUCGGCUGGGCACUCUAAAGGGACUGCCGGUGUUAAACCGGAGGAAGGUGGGGAUGACGUCAAGUCCUCAUGGCCUUUAUGACCAGGGCUACACACGUACUACAAUGGCCGAUACAAAGGGCAGCGACACUGCGAGGUGAAGCCAAUCCCGUAAAAUCGGUCUCAGUCCGGAUUGGAGUCUGCAACUCGACUCCAUGAAGUUGGAAUCGCUAGUAAUCGUGGAUCAGCAUGCCACGGUGAAUACGUUCCCGGGCCUU